UACUACUUCUAUAUGAGAAGUACCAACUAUGUUGAUUUUUUUUUAGUUCAUCAAUUUUCAGCAUUUUUUUUACAUUGCAGCAGCUGAUUUAGUGAAGUGGUUUGCUGCAAAUAUAUUUAAACCUAGAGAUGAGGCAAGGAGCGAUGCAUUGUGGGAAUUAGAAAAAUAUAAUCAUCUUGAGCAUCCAAAGAUUGUGCAAUACACUAUGUUGGAACAUUCCAUAUGGAAGGCAGUGGAUAUUCAUUCUCAAAUUAUGUACAGGGGUACGCUGGUCCAGUUCAUCAGAUGAUAUGAUUAAUGUUAUAGAGUAUGUGUCCCAGAUUCGUCCAGCAAGUUCUAAGCAUCACAGUAUAUGCAUAGCCUAGGGAUCAUGUAUGAGGUGCUCUAACGAGCAAGAAAUAAGUUUUCAAUAAUCAUUUACAGUGGACGGCAGGUUUGUGAAACAACAUAAAAAAAAUCUUGCUGUUACUGUAGCACGUUAAAAAUAAUCUAAAUAGUUACCAUUAUACAAAUUGCUCUAUGUAUAGGCUAGUUUUAAAUAUAGAAAAAUGGUACAGAUGUCAACUUUAAAGAGAUUUAGUUUGUGUUCAAUUAUCUUUAAAAUAUUAUUAGCUUUAUAUUCUAUUAUAGAUUAAUUAAUACCUAUUUUCACACUAAAACCCCACUUGAAGUGAUCGUGUGGUCCAUGACAUUACCCAAGACAAU